AUUGAACGCUGGCGGAAUGCUUUACACAUGUAAGUCGAACGGCAGCACGGGGGCAACCCUGGUGGCGAGUGGCGAACGGGUGAGUAAUACAUCGGAACGUGCCCGGUCGUGGGGGAUAACGUAGCGAAAGUUACGCUAAUACCGCAUACGAUCUGAGGAUGAAAGCGGGGGACCUUCGGGCCUCGCGCGAUCGGAGCGGCCGAUGUCAGAUUAGGUAGUUGGUGGGGUAAAGGCCUACCAAGCCGACGAUCUGUAGCUGGUCUGAGAGGACGACCAGCCACACUGGGACUGAGACACGGCCCAGACUCCUACGGGAGGCAGCAGUGGGGAAUUUUGGACAAUGGGCGCAAGCCUGAUCCAGCCAUUCCGCGUGCAGGACGAAGGCCUUCGGGUUGUAAACUGCUUUUGUAUGGAACGAAAAGGCUCUGGCUAAUACCUGGGGCUCAUGACGGUACCGUAAGAAUAAGCACCGGCUAACUACGUG
rnacentral:rRNA from 1 species